AGGGUUUGAUCCUGGCUCAGAGUGAACGCUGGCGGCGUGGAUUAGGCAUGCAAGUCGUGCGAACUUAAUUCUGUGAUUAGAUGGACCUUCGGGGAAAUCUGUGAUCUAUUUUAGGUUAGCGGCAAACGGGUGAGUAACGCGUGGGUAGCCUACCUUGUGCAGGAGGAUAGCCUCAUGAAAAUGUGGGUAAUAUUCCAUAGUAUCUUGAUUCGAUAGGAUUAAGAUUAAAGAUGGCUGAAGCUUCGGCUGCUAUCGCCACGAGAGGGGCCCGUGUCCUAUCAGGUUGUUGGUGGGGUAAUGGCCUACCAAGCCUAAGACGGGUAGCUGGUCUGAGAGGAUGGUCAGCCACAUCGGGACUGAGACACUGCCCGGACUCCUACGGGAGGCUGCAGUCGAGAAUAUUUCACAAUGGACGAAAGUCUGAUGAUGCGACGCCGCGUGGGGGAUGAAGGCUUUCGGGUCGUAAACCCCUUUUAUUGAGGAGGAACGCUAAUGGGUAAAUAAUCUAUUAGCUUGACUUUACUCGAUGAAUAAGCCACGGCUAACUCCGUGCCAGCAGCCGCGGUAAUACGGAGGUGGCAAGCGUUACUCGGUUUGACUGGGUGUAAAGGGUCCGCAGGCUGUCUAACAUGUGAAAGGUGAAAUCCUUCCGCUUAACGGGAGAACUGCCUUUCAAACGGUUAGACUUGAGGUAGUAAGAGGAGAGCGGAACUGCAGGUGUAAAGGUGAAAUUUGUGGAUAUCUGCAGGAACGCCCGUGGAGAAGUCGGCUCUCUGGUACUAACCUGACGCUCAGGGACGAAAGCUAGGGGAGCAAACAGGAUUAGAUACCCUGGUAGUCCUAGCUGUAAACGAUGGGCACUAGGUACUUGUCGUGAGAUGGGUGCCGUAGCUAACGCGUUAAGUGCCCCACCUGGGGACUACGGCCGCAAGGCUAAAACUCAAAGGAAUUGACGGGGGCCCGCACAAGCGGUGGAACACGUGGUUUAAUUCGAUGCUACGCGAGGAACCUUACCAGGGUUUGACAUGCUGGAAGUAACGGCCUGAAAGGGUUUGUGAUCAGUAACCAAUCUGGAACCAGCACAGGUGCUGCAUGGCUGUCGUCAGCUCGUGCCGUGAGGUGUUCCCUUAAGUGGGAGAACGAGCGCAACCCUCGCCAUUAGUUGCUAACUUUGACAUUGUUAAAGAGCACUCUAGUGGGACUGCCCGCGUUAAGUGGGAGGAAGGUGGGGACGACGUCAAGUCCGCAAGGCCCUUAUGUCCUGGGCUACACACGUGUUACAAUGCUUGCUACAAAGGAAGGCCAAGUCGUGAGGCGGAGCAAAUCCCAAAAAAGCAGGCUCAGUUCGGAUUGAGGGCUGCAACUUGCCCUCAUGAAGCUGGAAUCGCUAGUAAUGGCGCAUCAGCAACGGCGCCGUGAAUACGUUCCCGGGCCUUGUACACACCGCCCGUCAAGCGCUGAAAGUGGGGGGCGCCCGAAGCUCCGACGAUUGCCGGAGUCACGGUGAAUUUCAUGAUUGGCGCUAAGUCGAACAAGGUA
rnacentral:rRNA from 1 species